rnacentral:rRNA from 1 species
AACGAACGCUGGCGGCAUGCCUAACACAUGCAAGUCGAACGAGACCUUCGGGUCUAGUGGCGCACGGGUGCGUAACGCGUUGGAACCUGCCCUUAGGUUCGGAAUAACUCCCCGAAAGGGGUGCUAAUACCGGAUAAUGUCUUCGGACCAAAGAUUUAUCGCCUUUGGAUGGGCCCGCGUUGGAUUAGCUAGUUGGUAGGGUAAAAGCCUACCAAGGCGACGAUCCAUAGCUGGUCUGAGAGGAUGAUCAGCCACACUGGGACUGAGACACGGCCCAGACUACUACGGGAGGCAGCAGUGGGGAAUAUUGGACAAUGGGCGAAAGCCUGAUCCAGCAAUGCCGCGUGAGUGAUGAAGGCCUUAGGGUUGUAAAGCUCUUUUACCCGGGAUGAUAAUGACAGUACCGGGAGAAUAAGCUCCGGCUAACUCCGUG